UCUGCGCUCCUUCUGCUGGCACUGUAGCAUUGCCUUUGAGAGCUGCAUUGUUGUCUAAGGAAUUAGCUCUUUGAAUAAAUGUCCGCAAAGUGAGACGUCGUAAAAAUAUAUUUGAGACGACCACCAUAAGUAUACAAGCAGAGAGAACGAGGGCAAACGAAAAUACCGCAGAAAGCGCCCAGACAACGCCCGAACUGUAGCAGACGACAGGCGCGAGUCCUUGCCCUCACGUCACGCGAGCGGCGCUCGCAGCACCCCUGUAGUUCGUUCUCGGGGCUAAUACCUCAAACUCCAGUGCAAGACGCCCAUAUAGAUGGCUGCAGACGCCAAACAGGCGCAUGUCAUGGUGGUGCUGCUGCGUCAAGUUUUGCCAGCAAAUGACCUUCUGCAAGUGUCGCUGACAUAAUGUUCUGCCUGUUUUUUUUAUCUAUAUUGCAAUAAAUAGCUUUUGAGCAAGAUCUUUAUUUU
rnacentral:lncRNA from 1 species